GACGAACGCUGGCGGCGUGCCUAAUACAUGCAAGUUGAGCGAUGAAGAUUGGUGCUUGCACCAAUUUGAAGAGCAGCGAACGGGUGAGUAACGCGUGGGGAAUCUGCCUUUGAGCGGGGGACAACAUUUGGAAACGAAUGCUAAUACCGCAUAAUAACUUUAAACAUAAGUUUUAAGUUUGAAAGAUGCAAUUGCAUCACUCAAAGAUGAUCCCGCGUUGUAUUAGCUAGUUGGUGAGGUAAAGGCUCACCAAGGCGAUGAUACAUAGCCGACCUGAGAGGGUGAUCGGCCACAUUGGGACUGAGACACGGCCCAAACUCCUACGGGAGGCAGCAGUAGGGAAUCUUCGGCAAUGGACGAAAGUCUGACCGAGCAACGCCGCGUGAGUGAAGAAGGUUUUCGGAUCGUAAAACUCUGUUGGUAGAGAAGAACGUUGGUGAGAGUGGAAAGCUCAUCAAGUGUCGAUAACUACCCAGAAAGGGACGGCUAACUACGUG
rnacentral:rRNA from 1 species